rnacentral:lncRNA from 1 species
AUGCUACGGCCAAAGCCCAGGUGCCAGACAGCCGGAGGGAUGGAGGGGGCCGCGGCCAAGGGACGCAAGCUGAGCAAACCCCUGUCCCYGACRCAGCCCYGGCGGGCAGCGCCCAGGGGCGCCCRGACGCGCUCCUGCAUCUCCACAAUGGAAAAUAGCCGGAAGGGGGGUAAAACCAGGCUGCAAGAGGCCUGGGGCCUGGAUCCGGCCAGCGGCAGCCGAGCGAGGGAGCAGAGGGACCAGUUCCCCCCGUGCCAGCACAGCAGGGCCCCGGUCCCAGCGCRGAGGCUGCCCGGGGAGCCCCGUCCCUGCAGGCACCCUCCAGCCCGAGCCCGGAGCCCACGGGCCACACGGGGGGGGACAAACAACAGCCACCACCCAAAGGACCCCCCCGGCCCCGACUGCAGCGGCGGGUCCCYGGGCACACGAGGCCGGGGCGCAGACCUGCCCUGGGGCCACCAGCCUGAGGACAACAAGAGGGGAGAAAUCAGCCUCGGAGCUCGGCUGCGCUUCCCCCCGUCGCUCUGCGGACGGCGUGGGGUACAGCACGUUCUCCAGCCUAACCGGGCACCCCCAGCAGAUUGGGGUCCCCCUUCCCCAAAACAGGCCGGUCCUGAGCAGGGUCGGCCAGAGCAGCCCUCCCCAACCAGACACAGCCCCAGAUGCCCCCCCCCCGAACAGCCCCAAACACAAAGGAACUACCCCAAAGGACGCAGCAUGCAGACUCCCCCCCCCCGGGACCCUCGGCCAGGAGAGCCGAGACGUGGGGCAAGCCCAGCGCAGGCCCCAAACGCCCGCCAGCAGCCGAAUCCAGCUCGUUACAGCGGAUUCGGGGUUCGGGGGUCCCCACUUGUCUGCUCUGAGCGAGGAAAAGCUCCCCYGACGCGCUCACCCCAUCCUGAGCCAGCCCGACCAGCGAGCGCCAGCCCGGGGCACGGAUUGGGGCACCAGCUCUGGGCCAGGCACCGACCCCAAACUGAUGGGGCAGGAGGAAAUCUGCCCCCAACACCCACCCCAGCAGCCUGGUCCGGAGCUGCCCCAGAGACCCGAACCUGCCCCAGUUGCCCCCCUCCCUGCUUGGGGUAA